rnacentral:lncRNA from 10 species
GGACUAUAGGCAUGUACCGCCACGCCUGGCUAAUUUUUGUAUUUUCAGUAGAGACAGGGUUUUGCCAUGUUGGCCAGGCUGGUCUCAAACUCUUGACCUCAUGUGGUCUGCCUGCCUCAGCCUACCAAAGUGCUGGGAUUACAGGCAUGCACCACCAUGCUCAGCCCAAGGAAUUAAUUUUGAGAGACAACAGAAGUUAAGAGGUGAGCUCUAGGAUUAGCCAGAGCUAGGUAAAAAUCCUAGCUGUACUACUGGCUGGUUGUGUGACUUACAAAAGGCUAGUUAGUAUAUUUUACCUUCAAUAAUCCUCACUUUCAAAUUGGGUUAAAUACAGUACUUGUCUUCUAAGGUUUUGAAAAGGCUUAGAUGGUAGCCGGGCAUUGUGGCAGCACCUGCAAUCCCAGCUACUCAGGAGGC